GCCCUCAACUCCAGCUGAUAAUGAAUGAAACAAAUGGGACAAAGGAGGGGGCGCACGCGGCGCGGGCCUCGACUAGGGCGCCAGGCUCGGCUCUAGCCCCAAGGAGAAGGGGACAUUUUGCCCCCUCGGCGACCUCACCCUUUCCCAGCCCGGGGCCAGGAAGCUCUCCUCAGGGCCCCUCAGAACCCUAGCUGCCUCCCCACCUGCCCGCCGCGGAUUGGACGCUCUUUGUGGCGCUGAAGCAGAGAGACCCGGCGGAGCGUGCGGGGAGGCUGCCGGGCGGGGCGCGAGUCCCAGCCUCCCCGCCCGACAGCGGGUGCGUCCCGCGCCGCAAGUGAGCACUCCUGGAAGUCCCGCGCCAGGGCAGGGGCUCGCGGUCCCGCCCCACCUCUGGAGAGAUCGGGAGAGAAGCCGGGGCGAGACGGCGCUCCUGGGGGCCCCCGAAGACGACCCCGCGGCAACACAGACUUUCCCGAAAGGUCUCCGUCUCCGCGCUGAGAGCGCACGGGAACCCGUGGGCGCAGGGGGCGCCGUGGGGUUAGCUGAGCGUCCAAAGCCAGGCGAGGGAGAGAAUCUCAGCCCAGCCCCGCGCGCUUCGCCUCUAGCGGUACCAGCCGGCGCCCCAAGGCCGGGCUCCCGGGCGGGCGGGAGGAGCGUGUGCCAGUCGAUGUCUGCGAAGAUGAGGAAGACCACGAGCAGCGUGAGCGCAGCCAGCAUCCAGCUCCGGAACUGCAGCUGCAUGCUGCUGACCUCAAGAGUGGGGACCCCCACCCAGAAUUGAAAUUCCCGAAAACCCAAAAACUGUGUGUAUCAUUUACACAUCAACUAACCUCUCCACGCUUCUUACCGCAGAUACGGAGUGUUUUCAUCUGAACUGCUUCUUGGGGGGUGAUAAAGACUUCUCUUGGCAAUCCUUUACACAGCACAAGCUGCCUCCAGGGCGAUACUGGUGACCACCGGCAACAAGAAGUUGGCAUCGUCCCAAUGAACUGGUGAGCAUGCUUGGCAAAAUACCAUUUCUAAAUGAAACUCCAGAUGGGAGAGUCUCCAAAGCCAUGGCAGCAUUUAACAGAAAGUGAACAUGCCCAGAUCCUGGCACAGCGCACUGGCCGGAGGAGAGUGGCCUGGGCCCCAAGUAGGCUUCUUGUGAAAUGUCCCAUUGGGAGUCCUCUUCUACAUCUCCCUACCCCACAUGGAGUCUUUGUGGUUGGUCAUCCUCUCUUCCCAGUUCCCCCAGUCUGGUUUGACAAAGUAGACUGGAAAACCACAGAAGGAUCAAGAGACAGUGAACGUUUUUGGAUUAGGUAAAGCAAGUAAACCCCAAGGCCAAUGGCUUCUUCAAAAUAAGUUUGUUUCUCUCUCAUGUGCAAAUGCCCCCAGUAGGCAGCCUGGGCUGGUUUGGCCAUGGAGCUCCCUAAAGUCUUUAGGAUUCAGGUCCUUCCAGCUUUCCUGUGUGCCAUCCCUUUGAUGAGGCCCUUUCUCAUAGCUCAUCACCUCCAGAUUCCCAGGGGUAGAAUGGAGGAAGAGAUAAAAAGAAAAGAAAGUUCCGGAAGCCUACGGCACAGGGCUUGGGCUCACUCCCCUUGGUCCAGAACACUGUCCUGCGGCUACACCUCGCAGCAGGGGGCUCUGGCCUUCGGUGCGCUCAGCUGAGAAGCCCAUUGUGGAAGAACAGGAGGGCAGAUGUGAGGGGCAACAGGCGGGCUCUGCCACAAUGGGGUCGGAAAAGACCACCGCAGGGUUUUUCUCUCUGCAUUAGCUCUGCCUUAAGAUGAUUGUGUCUUGGGCAGAAAUGCCGGGUACAAGACCUGUUCGUGCAGCCGAGUUUCAUACUGUCAUAGUUCUCUCUCUCUCCAUUUCUUUCUUUCUUUCUUUUUUAAGAUUUUAU